rnacentral:lncRNA from 1 species
GGGGCUAGGUGUAUUAUCUCUGUGUCCGUCAUCUACUGGUAAAUUGAGAUAAUAUUUGUGUAUCAUGUGUAUUACAAACUGAUGAACUGAAGGAGAAACUAGUAGUACAGUUCAACUAUCUUUAUGGGGCAGCGUUCUCUGCUCAUUGGACGCUUGCUACCCACUCUGUAGCACAUAUUGUUCCAGUAACCUGUUACUGUUCUUCAACUAAAUAUGAUCAUGUCAUCAAACAAUCUCAUCUCUACUCUUCCACGACAGUUUUUGAUGGAUAUCUCGAAACGGGCUAUUGGACUACUUCGGGGUUACAGAAUGUCCACGAUACAUGGAGAGAAAAAAGACUGCAAU